AGAAUACAGACUACAUAUUAAAUUAUGCUAAUGUAAAAAUGUUUAGUGUAUUACAACUUCCUGUCUGAAAAGCCUAACAAUAUAUUUUCUAAGGACAUUGUUUUGUGAGCCUACAGGACAGUAGUCCUCAACAGGGGCGAUUUUGCCUCACCCUCCCACACACAUACACAUUUGGCAGUACUUGGAAACACUGUUGGUUGUCACAACUGGGGGAGGGGAGGGUUCUAGUGGCAUCUAGUGUGUAGAGGCCAAGAGUGCCAGUAAACAUUGUACAAUGCAUAAGACAGUUCCCCUCCCCCUACAACAAAGAAUCAUCCUACCCAAAAUGUCAUUAGCGCCCUGACGGAGAAACUCCGAUUUUAAAAAAUCCUUAUUCUCAGGGAAUAGGUACUAGGAUAUUAGACUGAAUUAAAUGAAGUUGUCUUCUGAGCAGAUCAAAUGUUGAUAAUACAUAAGAGUGAAGGGUUACGAUGAUCACAACUAACUCUCAAAUUGUCCAGCGAAAAUAUGGUGCUUGUCCUUCCGCCCACGCUUCCUUCCUGCUUUGGCGACUAAGGAGGGUCGCAUCCCUCCAGGGUGGGGGUGACCUGAGGAGCCUGCGCGGUGGGAAGCAUCCUGCAGAGGCCACUGCGCAUGCGCCGAGCGGCCAGCCGCACCCACACGGCGCUACUUCAAAAGUUACACAGAGGGUGGUGGACCGCUCAGUGCAGCGCGGCUGCCUCGAGCACAGUGCAGUCAACUGCUCGGGCCGGGUUUUGGCUUCUCCGGGAACGACAACGAUGCUUUCCCAAUUGAACCCCAGAAACUUCCUUUGCGAUCCGCCGAAGGCUGCGGCGAGCGUCGCUCGUCCUUUCGGAGCCCCCAGCCAGAAAGAGCCGGUUGUGCGUCGGCCGCCGAGCUCGGCGGUGCGUUCCGCGGCUGGAUGGUGCGGAGGCGCGUUCUACGCUGUCAUUAGUGGAUUCCGACUUCCUGUGUCUGACGAGCCCGGGCAGUACAUCUCCUGAUAGCACGGAAGAAAGUGCCCCCGGCAGGUUCAUUGCACACCCGGCUUCUCGCCAGCAAGAGCUUUCCCAGGGUAUUCCUUCAGUUUUUCAUGACUAAGAAAGCACUGAGAGUAUUCUAUUUUUAAGGUGGUCAGGCUUCAGGAUGGAUGAUGAACUUUCAGAAAGGAAAAGGAUGGAAAAUCAAAAUUACCGUACACUGUGCUGCCAACUAAAUAAGAAUUUCUUUGUAACACCUGCUGUCAAGGAAAAUUAUAUUCCCUCAUUAUAUAAUCUACCAACAGUCUACUUACCUACAGUCUUCAUCUAGGUUAUUCUUGAAAGCAGAACCUGAUCCUGAUUCUGAGACAAAGGUAGACAUAUUCUAGUUGAGAUUGUGAUCCUAGGGAACGAGGAGAAAUGAGAGAGGAGUGAACAGGAGGAAAAGGAAAAGAAAAUCCAAGCGAAACAAGGUUCAAGCCUUGGAUCACAUUGCUGGAGCAGGAGCAUUAGCAGAGCCCAGCAGUCUUGCUGAGUUGAGGAGACAAAAAAGAUUGGAGUGGAGAGACUGAGAUGGCUUGAAUUUUCAGGGCAGAGAAUCAGCGAAAAGGAAGGUAUGCAGAGAAAAAACAUUCCAGAAAUCUGCCUAUGGAUUUCUUGGUGUCCAUUGCUGAACUCAGCAAGUCCCCAAGCUAGCAUGAGAUCUGGAAACAUUUAACUUCCAUUCAUCCCUAGUGGAGAGUCCUGAGAACUACAGACGUUCACUGAGAUCCCAGGAAGUUUAUACCUAGUAUAAGUAGGGCUAAACUAGCCUAGCAGUAAAAUCCACACGAGAGACUUGCCAAAAAAAAAAAAAAAGCUUACAAACAAGCCUCAGUAGUAUGAGCCGAUCUACAAGUAACCACCUGCCAGAACAAAGUCCAAAUAUAUUAUAUUUCAGGUCCUCCAAGACACACAUGCAGAAACGGGAUUAGAUUUACGAGGGAGCCAUUUGGGGAAAUACCUGUGAGGAUCGAAAGAGAGAGGAAGCAGAGGAGGCAGUCUUCAGACUGUGUUGCAUGUCUGACCCCUUGAAAGAAAGAAGGAGGGUUGAGUAGCAAGAAUCUCAGACUGCAACACAAUUCUAAGAAAGUUUAAAGUCAGGCUGACUAAGAACCCCCAUGCCAAAAUUGCCUCUUGAGGGAGUCUCCCUCCAUACAGACUGGGCCCACAUAAGUAUACAUGCUCUGCUCAUUGUCCUGCUGGAAACAACCCAUGGGAAGUCUAGCCUCACACUAAUCACCUCAGUAGUUCCUGGUGGUUUACCUGAUGAUGCAGUACAAACUUUCAUUCCUGAGGGACUGAACCCUUAGUAAUCAUGCUAAGUUUGCCAUGUGUGUCUGGUUCGCAGCUAUAAUAGGGCAAAGCAGCACCAGGAGUCACCAGUGGAUCACCUGGGAUCCAUACAUAUCUCCCUGUGUCCCAUUGUAUAGAAGCAGCCAACCCCCUGCUCAUGGCGGUCAGUUACUCUGUGAAUAUGGUAUCUUCUCACCUGCACACCCCUAGGCACAAGGAGUACAAAGUGCCCUAGUGGCAAUCAUUUCUUGUAGCUCGAUGGAACCCUCACUGUAGCCCCUGGUGAGAGUAUGCCCCCUUUGGGAACCAAGAACUCUCAAGCUUACAGAGGGCAGAGAUGCAGAGCAGAAAGCACUCCUUUUGCCACCACAUUUGACACUUAUUAUCAUAUUGGGCACAUACCACCAUAAAGUUCCCUGGUUUAAUGAACACACUGUAUUCUGUCCAUCCUUUCAAAAUGUUGCCUCAGUGCUCGUACUUUAGCUGUGCCUUUAGAAGACCAUUCUAGCACUCCACGAGUGACCGUAUGUAUGAGGCUGCAGGGUAGUGUAGUAGGUGAUAAGACCAGGGGAUCCCAUGGUCGUGGGCCUACUCUUGCACCUUCAUCACCAUAAAGUAGUCAAACACCGUAUAGGUCCUUUAUUGUGGUGCUGGCCGAGGCUCUGCAGGUAGUAAAGACAGACCCAUACCUGGACUAGGUUCUUUCCUUGAGAGGACAAACUACUUGUCCUUCCAGAAUGGAAGAGGCCCAUUAUAGUCUACUUGAGGAACAAUGCCAUGGUAAGGGCUCGGUGAUGGUCUCUCUGGCUGACAGCAUGGACAUUCAGAGGCUACAAUAGCUAGAUCAGCCGUGGAAAGUAAAAGUCCAUGUGUUGGACCAUAUAUAACUUCCAGCUCUGCCACUAUAGCUACUUCAUUCAUGUGUCCAUCAUUCCAGUUCAGGGUCUAAUAAAGCCUGGCCAAUCUCCACUGGCCAAGUGAUUUUGUUUACUUGAUUGCUAAAUAUCCCUUCCAAGAUGGCUGCCUUCUAGUGGAUGCUAACUUGUGAAACAAAAAUCUUAACACUCUGUGUCCACUCCCAUAUGUCCAUCCACAUACCUCUAUGCCAGACUUCCUUGGCUUCAAUUUUCCAGUCCUUUUCCAUUCAGGCACCUGAACAAAUAGCCGAGCCAUAAACCAUUAACCAGAAAGCUAUACGUAUCCCCACCUAGAACCAGUUCUCCUCCACACAGUGUAGAUAACUAGGUAUACCAUUCAUAGCUCUGCUUAUUAGAAAUAUUUGCCCUUUCCACUGUCCUUCACGGCCACUCCUGGACAUAGCUAUAAUGUAGCCAACUGUGUCUGAUCCUCUUUCCUGAUUGGGACUAAAAAGAACAUAUUCACUGGAUCACUGGCUACAUACUAUGUAUGUGAGUGAGCCCUUCUUAAUCUUCAGUAAUAAACGAUACCACAUCUGCACAGCAUUUGCAAUCAGGACUAAUAGCAGGUUACACCUGCACUAGUCUACAGUCAUUCUAUCCAGUUUCUUCAAAGCCCAGGCUGGCAAAGUUAAUGGAGAAAUGAUGAGGACUGCCAGUAAGCUCGGCCUCCCCACAUCCCAGCCAAAUGUUUGUGACUUCCUACCUUGGCUGAGAUAAGAAGGGGUUUCAGAGAUUUCCAUUUGGCUUUCCCCACUGUGAUAGCUCUUGCCCCAGGGGCCAAAGGCUUUAAUGUGUAUGUUACAGUCAUUUCCAGUUAUACACUGAGGCACUGCAGACAUGACCAAUCGUGGGUCCACUCAAUGUGUCUAUUGUGGGCCAGACUUUAGCCAGCACCACAGGGCCUGGUCACAGUUAGUCCCCACUUUAAAGGCGUGCCACUUUGGGUUUCCAGAUAUCGGUGUCAACUCAGACUCUAUUGUCAGUAGUCCUUGAAAUGUCUGGAUAUUCCCCUUUCUCGUGUACCGUCACCCUAGUAUUUGGCCACGCAUGCAUUUAGAGAAGAAUUUGGUGAUUCAUCACAGUACACGCCUACCACUUAUAGCAGGGCCCUUCCUCCAAAAAAGACCUAGCCACCUCUUCCCAUCUGUGGGUUCCAUAUCUGAAAAUUGCCUCAGGUCUGGAAACUGAACAAGGUAUUAUAACACUUCACUCAGACCAAGACCUUCAGCCUCUUCCUUUUCCAGUUUUUGCCUUACUGGGUAUAGAUGUUAAGCAGCCUUUUUGUUACCUAUCUAUUUUGGCUGUAGGAAUGAUGUGUCAAUCAGUCACUCCCGAGCACCCUGAGGGUCAAACCUCCUUUACUGCCCCUCCAACUUUACCAGUUGUUACAACAAUUAUGGCCUCUUGGCUUUCGGUAGUUAAACACCAGAGGGCCCAUCACCUCUGAAUGAUGUUAACAGGCCCAGCUCUGUGAGCACCUCAUCCACCUGAUCAAAGGAAGAGAGCGACCACUGAACCUAUGAUGUUCAUGCCUUCUCACAGGCACGUUCUUGGUGCCUUAGUGAAUCAUGUGUCUUCUGGGCCCUUCUUUGGAACAAAAUCAUGUAGUGGGUUUUACAGCCUCAUAAAAUAUCCAGUCCAGUAUGACCACUUCUCUCAGCCUCCUCAUUGCUUCUCAUACCGUUACCAGGACAACCUGGGCGUUUCCACUUCACUCAGUGUUGGCUAAAACUAUAUCAGGUUCAUACCCUAUCAGUAAAUUUGUCUCAUCUUCCAAGGCUCUUGCUAAGAUGAUAAAUCCUGUGUCCAAAUAAAAUACUCCUAAAUAAAUAA